AUGAAAACAGUGGAAAGAACAUUUGAGGUGGGAGACUUGGUAUACCUGAAAAUUGCACCAUACAGGCUCACUGCCUUUGGGUUCAUAGGAGCUCUUGAACUACAAAACAAGUACUAUGGACCAUUCCUAAUAAGUCAGAAAAUUGGCAAAUAUGCAUAUAAGUUACAAUUCUCUGAUGAAGUCAAGAUCCACCCAGUUUUUCACGUGAGCCAGCUCAAGAAGCAUAUUGGACCUAAGUCUAUUCCUGGUCCUUAUCUGCCAAUGGUAAAUGAAGAUGGCACUAUAAAAACUAGACCAGAAGCUGUUCUACAAGUUCGACAAGUGCCCAGACACAACAUGCCAGUGGUUCAGUGCUUCAUUCAGUGGCAAAAGUUAUCGCCAGAAGAAGCGACAUGGGAGGAUGCAUAUUUCAUCAAAUACACUUUCCCUAAGUUCUUCAAAGAGACUACCCAAGCUUGGCGUGCGGCUGGACAAACAACGUGA
rnacentral:rRNA from 1 species